AAACCGGUGCUAAUACCGGAUAUCCCCACUGGACCGCACGGUCCGAUGAGGAAAAGGGUUUCUGCUUCGGGAGGGGCUCGCGGCCUAUCAGCUUGAUGGUGAGGUAACGGCUCACCAUGGCGACGACGGGUAGCUGGUCUGAGAGGACGAUCAGCCACACUGGGACUGAGACACGGCCCAGACUCCUACGGGAGGCAGCAGUAGGGAAUCUUGCGCAAUGGGCGAAAGCCUGACGCAGCAACGCCGCGUGAGGGACGAAGGCUUUCUGAGUUGUAAACCUCUUUCAGCAGGGACGAUUGUGACGGUACCUGCAGAAGAAGCACCGGCCAACUACGUGCCAGCAGCCGCGGUGAUACGUAGGGUGCGAGCGUUGUCCGGAUUUAUUGGGCGUAAAGAGCUCGUAGGCGGUUCGAUAAGUCGGGUGUGAAAUCUCCAGGCUCAACCUGGAGUCGCCACUCGAUACUGUCGUGACUAGAGUCCGGUAGGGGACCAUGGAAUUCCUGGUGUAGCGGUGAAAUGCGCAGAUAUCAGGAGGAACACCAGUAGCGAAGGCGGUGGUCUGGGCCGGAACUGACGCUGAGGAGCGAAAGCGUGGGGAGCGAACAGGAUUAGAUACCCUGGUAGUCCACGCCGUAAACGUUGGGCACUAGGUGUGGGGCCUAUUCAACGGGUUCCGUGCCGUAGCUAACGCAUUAAGUGCCCCGCCUGGGGAGUACGGCCGCAAGGCUAAAACUCAAAGGAAUUGACGG
rnacentral:rRNA from 1 species